rnacentral:misc_RNA from 1 species
GUAAGUAAAAGUCGUAACAAGGUUUCCGUAGGUGAACCUGCGGAAGGAUCAUUAUUGUAUAACCGAGGUGCGAGGGCUGUCGCUGACCCGAAAGGUCGUGCACGCCCGAGUGCCCUCACACGCAUCCAUCUCACCCCUAUGUGCACCACCGCGUGGGUCCCCCUUUGGCUUGUUCGGAGGGGGGCUUACGUUUUCACACAAACUUUGUAUGCAGUGUAGAAUGUAUUUUUUGUUUUUGCGAUCACGCAAUCAAUACAACUUUCAACAACGGAUCUCUUGGCUCUC